UUAGGUCGACCCGCUGAAUUUAAGCAUAUCACUAAGCGGAGGAAAAGAAACUAACCAGGAUUCCCUUAGUAACUGCGAGUGAACAGGGAUUAGCCCAGCACCGAAGCCUGCGAUCAUUUGGUUGCUAGGCAAUGUGGUGUUUAGGUUGGUUUAUUGGCAUUUCUGCUUCACCCUAAGUCCAUCAAUGAGUACGGCUUUUGGACCGGCCCAUAGAGGGUGAAAGGCCCGUGGGGGUGAAGAUCAAGUUGGACAGUUAUGCCUUGAGCCAACCUUGGAGUCGGGUUGUUUGUGAAUGCAGCCCAAAGUGGGUGGUAGACUCCAUCCAAGGCUAAAUACUGACACGAAUCCGAUAGUAAACAAGUACCGUGAGGGAAAGUUGAAAAGUACUUUGAAGAGAGAGUAAACAGUGCGUGAAGCCGCUCAGAGGUAAACGGGUGGAGUUGAACUGGAAACCCUGUGAACCAAGCUAAUAGGUAUGUAAUGCGCUCGGCCAUAUUAGUUGACAUUCAGAGUCUACUUGAUUGUGGGCCUCUAACUCUUCGGAGCCUUGGUGUGUGUCGCACUUAUCAUGUGCUGUGCGCUCUGUUUGUAUCGGGCUUGCCUGUUAGUUCGCAUUCUAUGGGUGAUCACCACGACCGGCGUUGUCGCCUGUCUGCUGUGGUUAAACCGGUUCGGUUAGGUCAUUUUGGCUUGGCUGGAUCGGGAUGGCAGGUAGCUUAUUUGCUCUUUGAGUGAGUAGGUGUUAUUUGGGCUGACCAGUGGCGGAUUUGUGCGAUAUGUCGGAGAUGAUGGCUUUGGUGUGUGCAUUUUCAUUCCAUUGGUUCGGGUUUGAUUAACAAGUUACCUGCUUUAGUGUAGGUCGGUUAGUAGCUCGUUCCAUUUUGGGGUGGAUCUAGCAUAUGUCACCUAUUUGGGCCUAUAGUCUGUGGUGUAGUGGUAGACUAUCCACCCGACCCGUCUUGAAACACGGACCAAGGAGUUUAACAUGUGCGCGAGUCGUUGGGCGUUACUAAACCCAAAGGCGCAGUGAAGGUAAAGGUUUGGACAUUGUUUGAACUGAGGUGAGAUCCUGUUGUUACGUGCCGUUUAUAGCGGAGACUUUGUGAGCAAUGGGCGCAUCACCAGCCCGUCUCAUGGUGUAGUCAUGUGGCAUUUCAUGUUGUGUGCACCACCGGGGCGGAGCUAGAGCGUACAUGUUGAGACCCGAAAGAUGGUGAACUAUGCUUGCGCAGGUUGAAGCCAGAGGAAACUCUGGUGGAGGACCGCAGCGAUUCUGACGUGCAAAUCGAUCGUCUAACGUGAGUAUAGGGGCGAAAGACUAAUCGAACCAUCUAGUAUCUGGUUCCCUCCGAAGUUUCCCUCAGGAUAGCA
rnacentral:rRNA from 1 species